rnacentral:rRNA from 1 species
CUUCCGUAGGGUGAACCUGCGGAGGGAUCAUUACCGAGUUUACAACUCCCAAACCCCUGUGAACAUACCUUAUGUUGCCUCGGCGGAUCAGCCCGCGCCCCGUAAAAAGGGACGGCCCGCCGCAGGAACCCUAAACUCUGUUUUUAGUGGAACUUCUGAGUAUAAAAAACAAAUAAAUCAAAACUUUCAACAACGGAUCUCUUGGUUCUGGCAUCGAUGAAGAACGCAGCAAAAUGCGAUAAGUAAUGUGAAUUGCAGAAUUCAGUGAAUCAUCGAAUCUUUGAACGCACAUUGCGCCCGCCAGUAUUCUGGCGGGCAUGCCUGUUCGAGCGUCAUUUCAACCCUCAAGCCCAGCUUGGUGUUGGGAGCUGCAGUCCUGCUGCACUCCCCAAAUACAUUGGCGGUCACGUCGAGCUUCCAUAGCGUAGUAAUUUACACAUCGUUACUGGUAAUCGUCGCGGCCACGCCGUUAAACCCCAACUUCUGAAUGUUGACCUCGGAUCAGGUAGGAAUACCCGCUGAACUUAAGCAUAUCAAUAAGCGGAGGAA